rnacentral:rRNA from 1 species
CAAUAGCGUAUAUUAAAGUUGUUGCAGUUAAAAAGCUCGUAGUUGGAUUUGUGGCGUACGGUGUGUUCCGGGCACUUGUUGUCUGAGUAACCUGCUGUUGCCAUCCUUGGGUGGAACCUGUGUGGCAUUAGGUUGUCGUGCAGGGGAUGCCCAUCAUUUACUGUGAAAAAAUUAGAGUGUUCAAAGCAGGCUUAUGCCGUUGAAUAUAUUAGCAUGGAAUAAUGAGGUAGGACUUUUUUGCUAUUUUGUUGGUUUGCGCAAGAAGGUAAUGAUUAAUAGGGACAGUUGGGGGUAUUCGUAUUCCAUUGUCAGAGGUGAAAUUCUUGGAUUUUUGGAAGACGAACUACUGCGAAAGCAUUUACCAAGGAUGUUUUCAUUAA